UCCGGCUUGAUUAGGCUAGUUCUUCUGCUGGAUCGGUCGGUUCGACCUGGCCCGCACCCGGCCCAUUGCAGAGGGUCGCCUAUGCAAGGGUUUUCCUGGCGCCCAUGCGCGCGCAGAGGUAGAUCGGGGGGAGAGAGGGAGGUUUUCAACAGGGUUUGAGAUCUCCGAGAUGGCUGCGCAAUCUAAGGCUGUCGCAUCUGAAGGCCUUGUUACUCGCACCAGUUCAGGAUGCCGUGGCGUGGAUGGAUUUCACAGGCCACGACCAAGCUUUGAGCAAAUUGGGAGCUACAAAACUGUUACCAGAUUCCCUUAUGGUUCCUCUCUCCUGUGGGGGGCAUCCCAGCCAAAGGUUUCUCCCAUUGGAAGCCGAGGCCUCCAUGCAAGCCGGGUUAUGUCUGAGUCCACAAAAGCUUCAAACCGUCCAUUGUCGCCUCAUCUGCCUCUGAAGAAGCCACAACUUAGUGCGACAUAUUCAAUUUCCCAUCGUAUAUUUGGAGGUUCUGUAGCGUCUCUAAUCCUUCUAGUUCCUGUUGCUAUGAAGUUCAGCCUCAUGUAUGAUGUAUGAAAGCCAAUGCUUGCAGAAGCUUGGUGUCCCCAGCUUUUCUGAGUUCUGUUACAAACGAAGUAUCUGUCCGCUUGCAUGACCAGACCAUGGUGAUGGCGUGGGAACUGGUGUUGUAUUUUGUUUGCAAAUAACAAUCCCGGAUAACUAAGAUUGGCUGGAACAAGAACUACUUGUUCUGAUUGGGUUGUUUA